rnacentral:rRNA from 1 species
AUUGAACGCUGGCGGCAGGCCUAACACAUGCAAGUCGAGCGGAUGAAGGGAGCUUGCUCCUGGAUUCAGCGGCGGACGGGUGAGUAAUGCCUAGGAAUCUGCCUGGUAGUGGGGGAUAACGUCCGGAAACGGGCGCUAAUACCGCAUACGUCCUGAGGGAGAAAGUGGGGGAUCUUCGGACCUCACGCUAUCAGAUGAGCCUAGGUCGGAUUAGCUAGUUGGUGGGGUAAAGGCCUACCAAGGCGACGAUCCGUAACUGGUCUGAGAGGAUGAUCAGUCACACUGGAACUGAGACACGGUCCAGACUCCUACGGGAGGCAGCAGUGGGGAAUAUUGGACAAUGGGCGAGAGUCUGAUCCAGCCAUGCCGCGUGUGUGAAGAAGGUCUUCGGAUUGUAAAGCACUUUAAGUUGUGAGGAAGGGCAGUAAGUUAAUACCUUGCUGUUUUGACGUUACCAACAGAAUAAGCACCGGCUAACUUCGUG